ensembl:lncRNA
CCCCUCGUCUUUUCUUCUGAAGUCUCCUCUUCAUUCUCCUCCAUCUGCUCGAGCGUGGAGAUCUCGGGUCUCGGAUCUCGGAUCUCGGGUCUCGGAUCUCGGACCUCGGGUCUCGGGUCUCGGGCGCACCACACAGCGCACCGCUUUCCAUUUCUCAAACAAGUCUGUAGCUAAACAUUUUUUUACUAACGUUCGUCGUAAUGAAGGGAAAAAGGAAUAAAUCACCAAAGGGAGAAGAAAAUAAAUAAAUAAAUUUACACCACCUUCAUUUAAAAUAAAUAAAUAAAUAUAAAUAAAGACUUUUCUCACAAAUAAGAAAACGAACAGAAGCUUACCAAAAAUUACAAACGUAAACAUUUUACGCUGAAUAUUUAACAUAAAUGGUAAUGAUUUUUUAAAAAAUUCUUUAUUAUUAAUGUUAAAUACUUUUAUCGACAAAUGAAAGCAUCGCAACACGCGACGUCUGCUAGCGGCUUGUUAGCGAACCUAAAGAUGGUGAUACGACACAUACUGUACAUGCCAGACAUGCCGCGGGAUAUCGUGACAUCAUCGCUUUGCCGUAUCGCCUCACGUUACCGCCACGAAGUCGUCUUCCGUUCACGUGCGUUUACCAACAAACGUCACUGCGAAAGACCUCGCGAAUGCGAUUUCGCCGAUUUUCUGCGAAAUAAUUUUUAAAAAUAAAUUUUUUAAAAAUCGGCACAAUCGCAGUAGCAGCAGAUUGUUCUGCCCGGCCUUCACGAACCCGACGCGGGUCUCUGUUUAACUCGUUAUGGUUUGGGAGCCAUCUUUAAAAAAGCUACUACUGUUUCUCAUCAAAGCUUUGGCCGGGUCACGCCCACAAGCGACAAACUACUAUUCAGACGAGCGAUUGGUCACUCGUUAGCGUGAAUGUAUCGAAACCUCUCGUCCUUCAAGCAGCGAGCGUUUUACUCGGAUCAAGUGAUCGUAAACGUGAUCUAUAAACGCUUACGGUCGAACUCGUUAGCUACGUACGUGUAAGAUGUCUUCGUGCGCCGCGACAGAAUGUGAGGACGCCGCCGCGACGCAUCCUUCGAGGAGGAAUUGGGCGUGGAUUCCAGGGUGGUCAGUUAACAUCAGAGAGUACACGCCCACCUUGGCAUGCUAGCACUCCAGAUUGUGAUGUUUAUUGAUUUUUAUUAAAGGAGGGGGAAAGAGGUUGUAAUGUGAGGUAUUUUUGGGCGAGAACUCUUGCGGUGUGAUCGCGACGCUACACUUCGGAGCGUGAAGGUUGGCGGGUGCGUGCGAUGUGUCGUGAUGUGUCGCGUCUCUCUCGGGGACGCCGAUAACGACAAGGAACGCUUUAGCUUUAACAGUGAGAGGAAUACGAACGACCGCCUGGUGAAUUUUCUCUGCAAAUGUGUGUGUGUGCGUGCGUGUGUGUAUAAGGGAAGAGAACGCUGCCCUCUUCGUUAACUCGGCUGGAUCCUGUUACACCGGCAGACUCGGAGCCUCGACACCCCCCCCCCCCCCCCCCCCCGGCCGCGUUUGAUCGCUAAUGAAGGAAAACAUGAGAGGGUGGAAAUGGCCCUCUCCUCCAUCUUCAUGUGUUCGCUUCACCGCUCGCUACCUUCCUCCUCAUUUUCGUAGAAGAGGACGAGUAAUUACGUUAAAAAAAACAACAGCUCUCCACUCCUCUGUCUGUCUUUCCCUCCCUCGCUCUUCCUCUCCUGCCUUGUCCCUCCCCCCUUUACAUUUCUCCCUCUCUCUCUCUCUCCCCUUCUAGCACUUUCCAUCUUGCCUCGUCUCUUUUCCUCCAUGCUGAGCUGCACGCAUCCCUGCCUCUGAAAGAGGGACGGAGAAGGAAGCCAGAGAGAGAGAGAGAGAGAGAGAGAGAGAGAGAGAGAGAGAGAGCACGAUGACGGGCGUUCCUGUUCGGCUCCUCCUUUCCGUCUCGGGGUCAAAAGUUUACCGUGGUUUUAAUUUCACCUUUCCUCAGCCAAUCAGAGCGCGGCAGCGGCUGCUGGCGAACUUUAGCACACUCGCGAAUUAGAUGACAGCGAUCGGUUUCGUCUGGGGUUUUUUAUCCCCUCUUCUAAGCUCUCCCCCUCUUUAAAAAAAAAAAAAAAACGCACUCUCCUUCUUUAUUCGUUCCUCUCGCCUCUUUUACACUCCAUGGAAAAAAAUCACAGUUCAUUUAAAUAGUUUCGUUCAAAUCUGUAUUUCUUCCUUUAGAUGUACGUGAGCGAGACAAAAGACAAACAGAGGAAAGGGGGAGAUGAAGGGAUUCCGGGGGGUGGGGUGGGGUGUGGGGGGGUGUCGGGGGGAAAAAAAUAGAUCCACAAAACCAACAAUCCCCCCGAGGGAAGCGCAGCACGCUCUCAAUCUGCAUCUCCUUCUCGUUAUUUAUGAAAAAUGCACUCCCGACACGAUCCCGUCCAUUAAUCAAUACCUUUCCCCUCUACGGCCUCCCGUGUGUGCAUGUAUAAACAGCUCGGAAUUAGGGGCGGGGUUAAUUAAUCAUCUAUUACACGGAAAUCAGCAGCGUUGCCACGGAGACGGCGAGAGAGAAACCGUGAUGAAUGUGAGGUCACCUCGCUGAGCGCCGUGUCCCGCUUCUUCAUCUAAAAGCUACACUGGAAUUUCGGUUCCUUUGUUUUUACACAAACUUCAUCACGUUCGGUUCGUUUUCACAAUGAACCCCACACCUACAAGUGAAACCCAAAAUCCCGACCCGGUCUCAUUCUGGUGUGAACCACGAUCCUGCGGCAAAACCACGUCCGUAAGGAAAAGAGCGGGAAAAAUCUCCUUCAGGACUUUCACAAAAGUCAUCAUAACAGUAAUAAUAAUAAUAAUAAUAACAAUAAUAAAACAAAUGGCUUCAGUUCUAAAACCUGAUUGGCUGAGACGACUGUAGAUCAAUUCCUAUACUGCGUAACACUUAACAUACAAAUCAAAAUAACUGAACUCUAUAUUGGUGUUAGAG